rnacentral:lncRNA from 1 species
UCCCGACAGAUUUGUUUUGUGCUCUGUGGCUUACAAGGAGCAGAGACUUGGAAAAGGAAGGACCCCUUCAAAGCAGAGAGAAAGAGACAGGAUGAAGACCUGGGGUGCUGAGCCACGUGCUGAGCCAAGGCGAGUGUGACCUCAUGUUCUCACCUGGGCUAAGCCCAGGUGGGAAGCUGGCA